rnacentral:rRNA from 1 species
UACGGGGGGGGCGAGCGUUGUUCGGAAUUACUGGGCGUAAAGGGCUCGUAGGCGGCCAACUAAGUCGGAUGUGAAAUCCCCAGGCUCAACCUGGGAACUGCAUCCGAUACUGGAUGGCUUGAAUUCGGGAGAGGGAUGCAGAAUUCCAGGUGUAGCGGUGAAAUGCGUAGAUAUCUGGAGGAAUACCGGUGGCGAAGGCGGCAUCCUGGACCGACAUUGACGCUGAGGAGCGAAAGCCAGGGGAGCAAACGGG